rnacentral:lncRNA from 1 species
AUGAAGAACUUAAUUUUGAAUAUUCUGGGUCCCCACUCUACAUUUCUGUGCGUUGAUCAAGGAGCAGUAAUAGCUUCGAUGAAUUGCUGGGUGUUCAUGUGCCGAGAGAGCUUUUCCUCUAACCACAGCACUUGGGAUCAUCGCCCUGCCCCUGUGGGACUGAUGUUAGUUUUCUGUGCUGCUGCUGAGACCACUGACUGAACCACUUUCAUUUCAGAUAUUCCUCCAUGCAGCAAGUGAGGAAAACAAGCUGUCUUAUUUCAAGGAUCGUUCUGGUCAGUUAGGGACUAUCCUAGCUCUUCAAGACUUGCUGACUUUUAUUUUCAGUCUUAUUCAGAUAUUCUUUAAAAAUGUUGAGAGAGAGCAGAAGAUGAUUGGCAGCACCCUAGGGAAAGAAGGCGUGUGUAAUUCAAUAGCAGAUUUUUGUUAUUUUGUUUUAAAUCUUAUUUUCUUUUACAACCUGUCUGUGAGCAGUUUUUCACCCGCUGGUCUCUGAGUGUUUUGCUGCUGGCCCAUAUCUCCCUCAUGUCCCCUGGCUUUCUCUGUUCUGAUAAAACAUGACUUGUAAGUUAGAAGAAAAUUAUGUAAAUGAAUAUAUUAAGUCUUUACCAGGGCAUUGCGAACUUCAUUUUUAAAGGUCAGCUUGAAGAAAACGUAAUCUUUUUGAUGUUGUACUUUUGGGGUGAUUUUAAUCGGCGGGGUGGUCGAGGGGGGCACACUGAUGAUGAUAAUGCUAUUUAGCAGAUAGCAGCGUGAACUACAGUGAAUAAAAGGAUGAUGCGUUCUUUGAAUACCAUUAAUUUCUACUCUAAAUCUCAGUGUAAACUGAUUUAGAAUGAAACUUAUCGGGUUAGGAUCUAUUAAUAAUAAAGGAGUAGAUGUUGCUGUAGGUAGCUUGACCUAAGAUUUAGUCUUAGGGUGAGCUGUGGCCAGCAAGGAGAAUGUGCUGCUUCAGUCCUGUGGCAAAAUGCGUUCCCUUUGAGGUCUGAACAAACACUUCUUUUUUUCUUUAGCCG